GUCAGAAUGGCUGAGCGGUCCAAGGCGCCAGACUCAAGGUUGUGCACCUUCUCCAAAACUGAGAGAUUUCGGUCUCCGAAUGGAGGCGUGGGUUCAAAUCCCACUUCUGACA
rnacentral:tRNA from 1 species